GAUAUAGAAACGUUUAGAGGUUAACUAGAAAUGUUUCAGGGCAAAAUUGUUGUAAUUAAGAAAGUUAAGGGACCAAAUCGUAAGGAAUAAAAUUUUAAGGACCUAAUGUCGAUAUUGGAAGGAAAGAAAGAAAGAAGAGAAGAAUCGGGGAGAGAGAGAUGGCCGGGGAAGAAGAAGAAGACGGGGGCUGCGUCGUCGGAGGCCGACAACCGAGGCGCGGGACUGGCCAGCGGAGCGGCUUGCGCUGGCAAGCGUGGCGGCAGCUGGCAUCGUCGGCAGGCGGCGGACAGCGCGAGGAAGAGGCAGCGGCUUCCGGCCGUUUCCGGCAGCCUUGUCGGCUGAUCUCGGUGGCAAUCGACUCCCCUCGGCGAUAGCUUUCUUUUGGCGGAAGCGGCGACGCCAAUGGUGGCUGGAGACGGAAGAUCCGGUGGAGAGAGAAAGUAAGGGGCAGCCGGCGUUUUUCGACUUUUCCGGCGAUCUCCGGCGGGGGAUGGAUGAUCGGAGGACGUAUCCCGACUCUCCUCAGCUCAAGCUUCGCAAUGGCACCAGUUUCGUGGCGAUCGGACUCCGUUUGCAAACCAACGGUUGAGAUCGUCUGCAAAUAUCUCCAGAUGAUCGGGUGUCGGAUCAGAAAAUCGGAAGCUGGAUCGUCAUCAGCGCGUCGUUUUGAGUCUAAUGGUGUAUUCGGAUCGUUGAUCAGACUCUGGUAGCUGGAGGCGAGUCGACCGAGCGAUCAAACGUCUCAGUAAUUUAUUUUUUCUUUGGCCCGUUGAUUUUGAUCCGUGACUGUUAGUCUUUCUGCGACUCUUAUCUAGUAACCUGACUCCUUCAUCAUCGUAUGAUGUAACUUAUUUGGUAUGUUAAUUUAUUAAAUCUUAGAUUCUCUGCAGCAGAAUUAAUAAACUUAUCUGUUGUAGUCCUUUGUAGUUCUAGGUCUCGCCUAAUUCUUCUGGCAGACCGAAUUAAUUGUAUAAAAUUUAAUGUUACGAUAAAUUGUGGAAUCAAUAAUAUUAAAUGAGAUGAGAUUUAUUUAAA